UGCCAGCCGCCGCGGUAAUACGGAGGGUGCAAGCGUUGUUCGGAAUUAUUGGGCGUAAAGCGCGUGUAGGCGGUUAGAUAAGUCAGAUGUGAAAGCCCACGGCUCAACCGUGGAAGUGCAUUUGAAACUAUUUAACUUGAGUUCGGGAGAGGAAAGUGGAAUUCCUGGUGUAGAGGUGGAAGUCGUAGAUAUCAGGAAGAACACCGAUGGCGAAGGCAGCUUUCUGGACCGAUACUGAAGCUGAGACGCGAAAGCGUGGGGAGCAAACAGGAUUAGAUA
rnacentral:rRNA from 1 species